rnacentral:rRNA from 1 species
CCUACGGGAGGCAGCAGUGGGGAAUAUUGCACAAUGGGGGAAACCCUGAUGCAGCGAAGCCGCGUGAGUGAAGAAGUAAUCAGUUAUGUAAAGCUCUAUCAGCCGGGAAGAAAAUUACGGUACCUGAGUAAGAAGCCCCGGCUAACUACGAGACAGCCGCCGCGGUAAUACGUAGGGGGCCAGCGUUAUCCGGAUUUACUGGGUGUAAAGGGAGCGUAGACGGCAGUGCAAGUCUGGAGUGAAAGGCGGGGGCUAAACCCCCGGACUGCCCUUGAAACUGGACGGCUGGAGUGAAGGAGAGGUAAGUGGAAUGCGUAGUGUAGCGGUGAAAUGCGUAGAUAUUAGGAGGAACACCGGUGGCGAAGGCGGCAUACCGGACUGUAACUGACGUUGAGGCUCGAAAGCGUGGGGAGCAAACAGGAUUAGAUACCCCGGUAGUC